rnacentral:lncRNA from 1 species
GAAAGGUCCUUCCUGCCACAGUUGAGAAGGGGCUUUUGUUACAAGCUUCUGGUGGCCAGGAAUGCAACUGCAUGGGGCGGAGGAGGCGUGAACGGGGCAGCACGGACGCCGGAAGCAGUCCUCCAGCCAGCAUGCCAGAAACUUCCUACACCUCCAGGCUGUCCUGCACCCACAUGCCCCAGUGUGAGAAGCUCUCUCAGAACGGUACAAGUGGAGUGUGCCUGCAGCGUGACAGCCAGGACCCGUUCUAAGAAGACUGCUUUGUGCUGGGAAGCCGACACACAGCAGAAUAACGCACUAAAAUGGACCGAACGCAGGCUGCCCGGCUUAUCCACACAGCUGACUUUUCCAGAAUACCCGACGUGCAGUCUUUGGAGUGGAAGGUCAGGAAAGGAGAACCACCCGAAUCUCCAAACUGGCUGUAUCUACACAUUUGAGAAAAGCGCUGUCAGGUUCUCCGUCCCCACUCAAAAUCUAAACAACAGCCUUUCUGAUCACAGUCAAGUAAGUGUCAAAGUUAAAGCCAUAAAGCCACAAAAUAAAACACCAGGGAAUAACCCCACCCUGUCCCCAUUCCAGUCCCCGAGCCUGCGGAGGGGUCCCAGGUUAGGGAUUUUGGCAUUUAUCUCUUCCUUUGCAGUCCCUAAACCAGCGAGACAGGAAUUAGCAGGAACCCCAUCUAAUCUCCUCGACAGCCUGUGGAUUUGCAUUAUUUAAAUAUAUGGGAAGUGCCCAUAAUUGAGUAAUUAUUCUAGCAUUUAAAGAAUGCCAAACAAUGAGCCAUUUCUUCUUCAGACCCAAUCCGGCCCACUUCCGGUUUCCUCUCAGCUCGAUGUGCAGAAUUAGCCCAUGUGUCAUUUCCUAGAACACUUGACUGUUUACACAAGUAAGCAAGACUCCUUUGGCAGUAUUUAUUUCUCUCAUUUUAGAUACGACGAUUGUGGCCUUCAUGGUACCCCCUUUUCUAGAAGCUUCUCAAGCAUCGAACGUGUCUAGAUGCAAAUUUGUACCUUGUAUUUGAAAAUGAAAUAAAAUAAGAUAAAAUAAAGACUCUCCUUCGGGA